UUGAGAUAAUUGAUCGAUAUUUGCGUGCUUUAGAGUCGGGUUGUUUGGGAUCGCAGCCCAAAGUCGGUGGUAAACUUCAUCUAAGACUUAAUAUUGCCACGAGACCGAUAGCAAACAAGUACUGUGAAGGAAAGUUGCAAAGCACUUUGAAGAGAGAGUUAAAGAGGACGUGAAACCGGUAAGGUGGAAACGGAUAGAGUCGGCGUAUCAUUCAAUUAUUCAGUUACAUUAUUUUUAUGUUGUGACCUCUGAGCUCCAGAUUGGGACAGAGGGAAUCAGCAUAAUUUUUUGUGGUGCAUUUACUUGAUUGGUGCUUGGGGAUGUUUGAGGCAGAUUUGUUUCCGUCGUUUUGAGGCCAGCUUGCUGGUACCCAAACGGUGUUAGCAUUUUUUGUCUUGGGCAUUUGAGUAUGGCUCACGUGUAUUUAUUGGACAGAUCUGAGUGUAAGUUACGGUCGCAUGCGACACGUGCUUUUCAAUUAGUUCGGUCCAGUUAAUGCUCUCGUACUCGUUCCCCAUGUAAAAGCCGGUCAUCUAUCCGACCCGUCUUGAAACACGGACCAAGGAGUUUAUCGUGUGCGCAAGUUUUUGGGUGUUAAAAACUUAAAAGCGAAAUGAAAGUAAAUGACUCUUUAGAGUCUGAUGUGCGAUCUUGUAAAAAAGUGUAGCAUGGCCCCAUUCUAACUGUUUACAGUAGGGUGGCGGAAGAGCGUACGCGGUGAGACCCGAAAGAUGGUGAACUAUUCCUGAGCAGGACGAAGCCAGAGGAAACUCUGGUGGAAGUCCGAAGCGG
rnacentral:rRNA from 1 species